UACGUAGGGGGCAAGCGUUAUCCGGAAUUACUGGGUGUAAAGGGUGCGUAGGCGGCAAUGUAAGUCAGGUGUGAAAGCCCAAAGCUCAACUUUGGGACUGCACUUGAAACUAUGUAGCUAGAGUACAGGAGAGGAAAGUGGAAUUCCUAGUGUAGCGGUGAAAUGCGUAGAUAUUAGGAGGAACACCAGUGGCGAAGGCGACUUUCUGGACUGUAACUGACGCUGAGGCA
rnacentral:rRNA from 1 species